rnacentral:rRNA from 1 species
UACGUAGGGUGCAAGCGUUGUCCGGAAUUAUUGGGCGUAAAGAGCUUGUAGGCGGUUUGUCGCGUCUGCUGUGAAAUUUCGGGGCUCAACCCCGAACUUGCAGUGGAUACGGGCAGACUAGAGUUCGGUAGGGGAGACUGGAAUUCCUGGUGUAGCGGUGAAAUGCGCAGAUAUCAGGAGGAACACCGGUGGCGAAGGCGGGUCUCUGGGCCGAAACUGACGCUGAGGAGCGAAAGCGUGGGGAGCAAACAGG